UACGUAGGGUGCAAGCGUUGUCCGGAAUUAUUGGGCGUAAAGAGCUCGUAGGCGGUUUGUCGCGUCGAAUGUGAAAACCCGGGGCUCAACCCCGGGCCUGCAUUCGAUACGGGCAGACUAGAGUUCGGUAGGGGAGUCUGGAAUUCCUGGUGUAGCGGUGAAAUGCGCAGAUAUCAGGAGGAACACCGAUGGCGAAGGCAGGUCUCUGGGCCGAUACUGACGCUGAGGAGCGAAAGCGUGGGGAGCGAACAGG
rnacentral:rRNA from 1 species